GAUUAAGUUAUUAAGGGCGCACGGUGGAUGCCUUGGCACUAGAAGCCGAUGAAGGACGUUACUAACGACGAUAUGCUUUGGGGAGCUGUAAGUAAGCUUUGAUCCAGAGAUUUCCGAAUGGGGAAACCCAGCAUGAGUUAUGUCAUGUUAUCGAUAUGUGAAUACAUAGCAUAUCAGAAGGCACACCCGGAGAACUGAAACAUCUUAGUACCCGGAGGAAGAGAAAGAAAAUUCGAUUCCCUUAGUAGCGGCGAGCGAAACGGGAAGAGCCCAAACCAACAAGCUUGCUUGUUGGGGUUGUAGGACACUCUAUACGGAGUUACAAAGGACGACAUUAGACGAAUCAUCUGGAAAGAUGAAUCAAAGAAGGUAAUAAUCCUGUAGUCGAAAAUGUUGUCUCUCUUGAGUGGAUCCUGAGUACGACGGAGCACGUGAAAUUCCGUCGGAAUCUGGGAGGACCAUCUCCUAAGGCUAAAUACUCUCUAGUGACCGAUAGUGAACCAGUACCGUGAGGGAAAGGUGAAAAGCACCCCGGAAGGGGAGUGAAAUAGAACCUGAAACCGUGUGCUUACAAGUAGUCAGAGCCCGUUAAUGGGUGAUGGCGUGCCUUUUGUAGAAUGAACCGGCGAGUUACGAUUUGAUGCAAGGUUAAGCAGUAAAUGUGGAGCCGUAGCGAAAGCGAGUCUGAAUAGGGCGUUUAGUAUUUGGUCGUAGACCCGAAACCAGGUGAUCUACCCUUGGUCAGGUUGAAGUUCAGGUAACACUGAAUGGAGGACCGAACCGACUUACGUUGAAAAGUGAGCGGAUGAACUGAGGGUAGCGGAGAAAUUCCAAUCGAACCUGGAGAUAGCUGGUUCUCUCCGAAAUAGCUUUAGGGCUAGCCUCAAGUGAUGAUUAUUGGAGGUAGAGCACUGUUUGGACGAGGGGCCCCUCUCGGGUUACCGAAUUCAGACAAACUCCGAAUGCCAAUUAAUUUAACUUGGGAGUCAGAACAUGGGUGAUAAGGUCCGUGUUCGAAAGGGAAACAGCCCAGACCACCAGCUAAGGUCCCAAAAUAUAUGUUAAGUGGAAAAGGAUGUGGCGUUGCCCAGACAACUAGGAUGUUGGCUUAGAAGCAGCCAUCAUUUAAAGAGUGCGUAAUAGCUCACUAGUCGAGUGACACUGCGCCGAAAAUGUACCGGGGCUAAACAUAUUACCGAAGCUGUGGAUUGUCCUUUGGACAAUGGUAGGAGAGCGUUCUAAGGGCGUUGAAGCAUGAUCGUAAGGACAUGUGGAGCGCUUAGAAGUGAGAAUGCCGGUGUGAGUAGCGAAAGACGGGUGAGAAUCCCGUCCACCGAUUGACUAAGGUUUCCAGAGGAAGGCUCGUCCGCUCUGGGUUAGUCGGGUCCUAAGCUGAGGCCGACAGGCGUAGGCGAUGGAUAACAGGUUGAUAUUCCUGUACCACCUAUAAUCGUUUUAAUCGAUGGGGGGACGCAGUAGGAUAGGCGAAGCGUGCGAUUGGAUUGCACGUCUAAGCAGUAAGGCUGAGUAUUAGGCAAAUCCGGUACUCGUUAAGGCUGAGCUGUGAUGGGGAGAAGACAUUGUGUCUUCGAGUCGUUGAUUUCACACUGCCGAGAAAAGCCUCUAGAUAGAAAAUAGGUGCCCGUACCGCAAACCGACACAGGUAGUCAAGAUGAGAAUUCUAAGGUGAGCGAGCGAACUCUCGUUAAGGAACUCGGCAAAAUGACCCCGUAACUUCGGGAGAAGGGGUGCUCUUUAGGGUUAACGCCCAGAAGAGCCGCAGUGAAUAGGCCCAAGCGACUGUUUAUCAAAAACACAGGUCUCUGCUAAACCGUAAGGUGAUGUAUAGGGGCUGACGCCUGCCCGGUGCUGGAAGGUUAAGAGGAGUGGUUAGCUUCUGCGAAGCUACGAAUCGAAGCCCCAGUAAACGGCGGCCGUAACUAUAACGGUCCUAAGGUAGCGAAAUUCCUUGUCGGGUAAGUUCCGACCCGCACGAAAGGCGUAACGAUUUGGGCACUGUCUCAACGAGAGACUCGGUGAAAUCAUAGUACCUGUGAAGAUGCAGGUUACCCGCGACAGGACGGAAAGACCCCGUGGAGCUUUACUGUAGCCUGAUAUUGAAAUUCGGCACAGCUUGUACAGGAUAGGUAGGAGCCUUUGAAACGUGAGCGCUAGCUUACGUGGAGGCGCUGGUGGGAUACUACCCUAGCUGUGUUGGCUUUCUAACCCGCACCACUUAUCGUGGUGGGAGACAGUGUCAGGCGGGCAGUUUGACUGGGGCGGUCGCCUCCUAAAAGG
rnacentral:rRNA from 1 species